UACGUAUGGAGCAAGCGUUAUCCGGAUUUACUGGGUGUAAAGGGUGCGUAGGUGGCCUGCCAAGUCCGAUGUGAAAUGCCGGGGCUCAACCCCGGAGCUGCAUUGGAAACUGGUGGGCUGGAGUGCAGGAGGGGCAGGCGGAAUUCCUGGUGUAGCGGUGAAAUGCGUAGAUAUUAGGAAGAACACCGGUGGCGAAGGCGGCCUGCUGGACUGAGACUGACACUGAGGCACGAAAGCGUGGGGAGCAAAC
rnacentral:rRNA from 1 species